AACCUGGUUGAUCCUGCCAGUAUUAUAUGCUCAAGUCAAGGGCUAAGCCAUGCACGUCUAAGAACGUAGGCUUCAGCCAUCAAUCUGUGGAAGGCUCAUUACACGAGUUAGAAACUCUCUUACCGCGCCAUUCUCAUUGGGAUAACACUGCUAAAUGUAGUGAUAAUACCUAAAGUACGCAUGCUGCAUCAGGCAUGCACCUGAUGUCCACUGCAGCGCAGACACCAUGCGGCGUGAAUGCAGGACAUCACCCAGAGAAGCACUGUCUUCUCAUAGGAACCGUUGAUCAUCAGCGGUCGACUAGUAGUCUUACUUCUCUAUCAGCUUGGCGGUUAGGUAAGGACAAAUCGUGGCAACAACGGAUACGGGGAAUCAGUGUUCGAUUCCGGAGAGGGAGCCUGACAAACGGCUACCACAUCCAAGGACGGCAGCAGGCGCGAAAAUUACCCAAUCAUAACACCUCAUGGAGGUAGCGACAACUAAUAGCGACCUUCUGGAUUCUUCUAGAAGGGUACCACCAUCCGGUGGUUUGCAAUGAGUUCAUCGUAAAUAACUGAGCGAGUAACAAUUGGAGGACAAGUUCGGUGCCAGCACCCGCGGUAAUUCCGACUCCAAGAGUGUACACCUACAUUGCUGCAGUUAAAACGCUCGUAGUCUAUACAAAGACCAAUCACCAUAGGGCACGUGGCCAGCAGCGCGCAUUUGCCUGCUGAUUUCUGUUUGUGGUGGCGGCCCGUGCGAUCUCAUUCACGCGGUGUGUCUGCGCCACUGACAGAACGUCGUGCCACUAUGUGWUUAGGCUUUUUCGAUCGUGAACAAAACAGUGCGAUCAAAGCAGGCACUGUAAUAUCAGCUCGAAUGUACUAGCAUGAAACCGAAUAAAUAAGCUGUUGCCCAUAUGCAUCAGUUGCAUCCAAUAAUAGGAGGCUGAUGUAGGGUACUGGUAUUGCUGGCGCAGAGGUGAAAUUCCGACAUUCUAGCAAGACCGUCAGAAGCGAAAGCUGACACAUCUCUUGCGCCUCCAUUGAUCAGGAACGAAAGUUAGGGGAUCGAAGAUGAUUAGAUACCGUCGUAGUCCUAACCGUAAACUAUACCACCAGGCGGUUGGUGGAACACAACAGAGAUUCUCUCAGAUGCCCAGGGAAACCAAAAGGUUUUGGGUUCUGGGGGGAGUAUAGUCGCAAGGCUGAAACUUAAAGGAAUUGACGGAAAGGCACCACCAGGGGUGGAGUCUGCGGCUUAAUUCGACUCAACACGGGAAAACUCACCAAGUCCAGAUAGUGUAAUGAUUGACAGGUUAAUAGCCCUUUCUUGAUUCUCUAAUAGGUGGUGCAUGGCCGUUCUUAGUUCGUGGAGUGAUCUGUCUAGUUAAUUCUGUUAACGAACGAGACCUUUACCAUUGAUUGAGAAGUUGAUAGCUUGCUUCGGUGAGCACAACUUGUAUAGGUAAUGCGCGGCAUCCUCUGCCACAUACCGCUUCACACGCUACAAUGGGACGAUACUGCGAAUAAAGCGUAAGGAAGGUAGAGGCAAUAACAGGUCUGUGAUGCUCUAAUAUGUCUUGGGCUGCACGCGUACUACAAUGGUGUUACCAACAGGUAAGCACUGGUUGUGGCGGCCGGAUCGACAUUUACUUGUCGCCGCCGGCCCGGCACAUCCUCCAACAUUAYUAAGAUGAAGGUAAUCCCAAAAGUGGCAUCCUGUCUGGAAUAGAAGACUGUAACGUCAACUUGAACAAGGAAUCCCCCGUAAGCGUGAGUCAACAUCUCGCAUUGACUACGUCCCUGCCUUUUGUACACACCGCCCGUCGCUCCUACCGUUGGAGUUGAAGGUGAGUCUGGCGGAUGGCGCCCAGAUGAGCCUACCGUAUCACGGAAAGCUCAGCAUCCAGAAACCAGACAAAUCUUUUUCUCUGUAGGAAGGAGAAGUCGUAACAAGGUUUUCGUAGGUGAACCUGCAGAAGGAUCAAGC
rnacentral:rRNA from 17 species